rnacentral:rRNA from 1 species
CACGUAGGGGGCAAGCGUUGUCCGGAUUCAUUGGGCGUAAAGAGCUCGUAGGCGGUUCGAUAAGUCGGGUGUGAAACCUCCAGGCUCAACCUGGAGACGCCACCCGAUACUGUCGUGACUAGAGUCCAGUAGGGGAGCGUGGAAUUCCUGGUGUAGCGGUGAAAUGCGCAGAUAUCAGGAGGAACACCAGCGGCGAAGGCGGCGCUCUGGGCUGGAACUGACGCUGAGGGAGCGAAAGCUGGGGAGCGAACAG